rnacentral:rRNA from 1 species
CCUACGGGAGGCAGCAGUGGGGAAUAUUGGGCAAUGGGCGCAAGCCUGACCCAGCAACGUCGCGUGAAGGAAGAAGGCUUUCGGGUUGUAAACUUCUUUUAAGAGGGAAGAGCAGAAGACGGUACCUCUUGUAUAAGCCACGGCUAACUACGUGCCAGCAGCCGCGGUCAUACGUAGGUGGCCAGCGUUGUCCGGAUUUACUGGGUGUAACGGGCGUGCAGCCGGGAAGACAAGUCAGAUGUGAAAUCCCGCGGCUCAACCGCGGAACUGCAUUUGAAACUGGUUUUCUUGAGUACCGGAGAGGUAAGCGGAAUGCCUAGUGUAGCGGUGAAAUGCGUAGAUAUUAGGAGGAACACCGGUGGCGAAGGCGGCCUGCUGGACUGUGACUGACGUUGAGGCCCGAAGGCGUGGGGAGCAAACAGGAUUAGAUACCCCUGUAGUC